CAACCACACUGACAUACUUCAGCACAACUGAUUUGAAUCUACAAUCAACCAUCACUUUCAGGUCAAUUGAUCACACUUCAUCAACAGGGUCAGUCAUGUACGUCAUUGCUGGGUUAUCCAUCAUGGUGAUCAUCUUCCUGCUGGCGCUGACGGUGUUGUGCAAACAGAGAAAAUACAUGAAAUCACAGAGAGUUGCACAAUCAGGACUUCCGCAGCAAGUUUCUGUUGGGAUUUUGCCUUUAAAUACAAGAGUAGAGUUCAUUGAAGAGG